rnacentral:piRNA from 1 species
UGAGAAAAGCAAGCAGGCAGAGAAGCCAAU